GCGCCCUUAGCUCAGUUGGAUAGAGCAUUGGCCUCCGGAGCCAAAGGUCAGAGGUUCGAAUCCUCUAGGGCGCGCCA
rnacentral:tRNA from 1 species